AAAAAAGAGGCAGAGGAAGGGAAUGCCGCUGAUCAGGCAUCUUCAGCGAGAGCUCACAGAAGAAACAGUCACGUAUUGAGAAGCCAGCGAUGUUUGCUUCCUGUUUUAAGCCUCGAGGUUUGGAAGUCAAACACAGGGGAACAAAACACAGGUCACAGAAGAAAAUCUCGGUUUAUGCUCUAUAAUUCAUCAGCAGGAAGAAGACCUGUUGGUUUUGCCUCUGGAGAUGAGAGGUUGUUAUAUUCAAAUCAAAGCUAUGACCACUUGAAUGAAUUUCCUAUGCAACCGGGAACAUAUUCCCCCCGUGACAUAGGCAUGGGAUACUUCUCGAGCGGUGGAAAUGGAUAUCAUGCAUAGGAAUCACCAAAACAAGUUGCAAAGAAUCAAUGGGAAGAGGAACACGAGUGGACGAUGGGAUGCAGGCUAUUCUGAAUGCCCCAGUUCCAGUCUUGUCUGUUACUCCAACGGAUCUCAGCUUCAUGAUCUGGAAGAAUUACAGAACAGUACAGAUAUUGAUGAGUACAAAUUGAGAGAUGGAGCUGGUGCUGCAAGGCGCUUUGGCGAAGCUCAAGCGAGAAAGAGCAGAGAGUUUGAGGUACAAAGCAGAUCUAGCGAGAUUUUCUUCUGUGGACCCAAGCAACAAUGGGUUAGAAAGCUCAAGCGAAGGAUGAGUCGAUAGAUACCACUUUUGUUAGUCUGGGUUAUGUCACCUCUUGAGCAAAAGAAGAAAGCGGGAUUCGACAUGUCCUGUUCGUCACACGAGCUGGUCUUGACACUUGUCAUGUAUAUAACAUGACUUAAAACUUUUAUACAGUAGUUGGUUAUACCUAAGAGGAUAGUCAUAUAAUUACAAAAAAAAAAGAAAAGCGACCCCUUGUUUGAGUU